rnacentral:hammerhead_ribozyme from 1 species
ACCCAGUUGACAAGUCCCGAAUAGGACGAAACGUACUUCUUGGAU